rnacentral:piRNA from 1 species
UGCACAGGUGUGUCGUGAUAUGAUAAUUGU